rnacentral:tRNA from 1 species
CGGGGUGUGGCGCAAUCUGGUAGCGCGCUUGCAUGGGGUGCAAGAGGCUCCGGGUUCAAAUCCCGGCACCCCGACUA